AUUUUAACAUGCUCAUCCUCUUCUCUUACCUCUCAUUUUCGUUUAUCAAUCUUUACUACAGCAUCUUACAUUUGCCACCUGACCGCUAAAUAGGGGAGAAGUUUAAGUAUUAUUGGCAGCCCGGUCUUGCCAUACGGUAGUCUGGACACAAUUUUUAUUAUUAUAAUAUAAACAAAGUCAGAGCACUAAAAUAAUUCUGCACAACAAAGUUCGUACAACUAAGCUCAACUUGAAAGCCUACCUUUGAAAAUUCGAUUAUUUUCAAUUCUCAGGAAAAAAAAUGUAAAAAUUAAUCUCGGUCUUAUGGCAACACCUACGGCCUCAUCUAUUUCCCCCUUGGCCACGACCAUGACCAUUAUAAGUGAAAACAUCGUAAAAUCUGCAUUUGGUAUUCAUCACUUGCGAAUACACUUGAAGUAAGCACCAAUUUUCUAGAAAAUUAAAAAUACUUUUAAAUAUCAGCGAAUUACUAUGAUUCUCCAUACACUGAAGGACACCGAAGUUCAUGUCAGCAAUCAACGUUCGAACACGCGCUUCAUCUGUCCUGGUGGUUCGCUCGAUACUCAAACGGACAAGCGUGGUCUCUUUUGUUGUAAUGGUGUCGAUCGUGCUUUUGAAGAAAUCCCAACAUCUCUUCCAAUUUAGACGAUUUUUAAGAACAAGUGCGCCACGAAAAACGUAAGCGGUGUUACAAGUAUGUCUAAGGAGCAGCAAAUGGAAAAAAAUCGGUUGAAAUACAACAGUUUCUUUAGGAUAAUGUGGAAUUCAAGAUGAUAAUGAUAGAAGGGGACUGCCGAGUUCAAGCCAUGAGAGGCGUUGCCAGUUAAUAUAUAGUAAACAAGAAUUUCUGCUGUCAAGUUGAUUCACCCAGAAUGAUUUUUUCAGAGGAGUAGUGAAACGAUGUGUUUUACUCAUUUUCAAAAAUCAACCGGAUUAACGUAUGUGCAAACUGUGGUUACAAAAUCUACAAAUAAGCAAACGUGAAGUUUGUUCGUGGACGAGUGGACGGCGCCCGUGCCGUAGUUUCUAGAUACCACCAUUGAACAGAACUCUCCUGCAUUUACCAGAAUUGCAGUGAGGAGCUAACAUUCCUAAUCCUUAAGUAAAAGAAAAAAAAAUCCUAAAUGUUUGCGUUUAGCAGUAUAAAUGCCUUCAUUUUUAAGUACGUGUCCAUACACGAUGUGAAACUUUACCAAAAUAUGAUCCGGUAUCUUUCCACAUUUAUUAAACAAACACAAGCGCAUUACCCGCUGUCUGAUUCCAACGCGCAUUUGCAUUACACAUUUAUUCACAGCGUACAGCAACCAGGAUAUGUUCAAACGUGAUCUACUUUACAUGGCAAAAAUGAGCGUAUAUGACAGGGCAUUCUCCAGCUCCAAGAUGAACUCCAACGUGUCUAGUGGUAACAAAAGCCGAUUAAACGAGAAGGACGAAGCAAAUCUUGGGCUUUAAGAACACAAAAGCUUGGCACAGAAUUCUCUUCCAUGAAACAAGCUGUAAAAAUUGUAUGCAAAUAAAUAUCCCCAAACGUA